rnacentral:lncRNA from 1 species
UCCUUAAAGAAAUGAAUUACCCACUUAUUCAACAUUUGCAAGUGACUUCAUUUAGCCCUCCACAACAAACUUUUCUAUGAUGAGUCCUGCAAUCUGAAAGGAAUUAAUAAUCAAUGUUCGUUUAGUUGAAGUUUGGACUUUUGAUGCCAAAUUCUUCUUNNNNNNNNAAUAUUAACUCCUGAGAUGAACAACAUAAGAAGCAAAUAAUAAGUUUAGUGAAAAAACAUCAUCAUAAUGAAGAAGUGUAGCAGAGAAAAUAUUAUUACAUUAAGGGAAGUAAGGGAAACUUACUUGGUUGUACAAGCCAAAGCCAACAUGAUUCAUUUUCCCAGCAUAAUCAACACCUAGUUAGUAUCUAUCUGUAAAACAAUAGUAAAUGAUAUUAUAAGACCUGUGUCAAAAAUAAAAUCACAAUCACACUUAUUAGGCAAUGGUGGCAUAACUACACUGAAUUCAAAAUGAGGAAUGAGAAAAAUUUAUAGCAUCCAAUAUUACUUGCCUCACAUCUCACAGUGCCUCAAAAAGAU